rnacentral:rRNA from 1 species
AUUGAACGCUGCGGCAGGCUUAACACAUGCAAGUCGAGCGAGCGGCGGACGGGUGAGUAAUGCUUAGGAAUCUGCCUAUUAGUGGGGGACAACAUCUCGAAAGGGAUGCUAAUACCGCAUACUAAUAGAUGAGCCUAGUCGGAUUAGCUAGUUGGUGGGGUAAAGGCCUACCAAAGCGACGAUCGGUUGCGGGUCUGAGAGGAUGAUCCGCCAGACGUUGACGGGGACCCGGCCGAGAAUCCAACGGUGGGCAACAGUGGGGAAGAUGGACAAUGGGGAGAAGCGUAAUCCAGCCACGGCGCGUGUGCGAUUAAGGGCCGAUGGAUGUAAAGCUCUCUAAGAGUGGAGGCAUUACUCGCAGAGUAAGCACCGGCUAACUCUGUGCCAGCAGCCGCGGUAAUAC